GUGUGGGGAAGCUGAGAGCCAGAGCCACGCUCAGAGGUUUCAUUAUAGAGCCGAACCAGAAACAGAACCCAGCUGUGUGUCCAUAAAGAGCGAUGGUUCGAAGUUCCUUCCUAUUGACUUUAGACCUUCUGGAUCUCCGUCCUCAAAGAGGUUUCAUCAUAGAGCCGAACCAGAAACAUCACCCAGUUGUGUGUCAUUAAAGAGCGAUGGUUCGAAGUUUCUUCCUAUUG